rnacentral:rRNA from 1 species
GGGAUUGCCCUAGUAACGGCGAGUGAAGCGGCAACAGCUCAAAUUUGAAAUCUGGCCCUAGGCCCGAGUUGUAAUUUGCAGAGGAUGCUUUUGGUGACGCGCCUACCGAGUCCCCUGGAAUGGGGCGCCACAGAGGGUGAGAGCCCCGUAUGGUUUGACGCCGAGCCUCUGUAAAGCUCCUUCGACGAGUCGAGUAGUUUGGGAAUGCUGCUCUAAAUGGGAGGUAAAUUUCUUCUAAAGCUAAAUACCGGCCAGAGACCGAUAGCGCACAAGUAGAGUGAUCGAAAGAUGAAAAGCACUUUGAAAAGAGGGUUAAAUAGCACGUGAAAUUGUUGAAAGGGAAGCGCUUGUGACCAGACUUGCGCCGGGCGGAUCAUCCAGCGUUCUCGCUGGUGCACUCCGCCCGGCUCAGGCCAGCAUCGGUUUUCGCCGGGGGACAAAGGCUUCGGGAACGUGGCUCCCUUCGGGGAGUGUUAUAGCCCGUUGCGUAAUACCCCGGCGGGGACCGAGGACCGCGCUUCGGCAAGGAUGCUGGCGUAAUGGUCAUCAGCGACCCGUCUUGAAACACGGACCGAGGAGUCAAGCAUUAGUGCGAGUGUUUGGGUGUAAAACCCGCACGCGUAAUGAAAGUGAACGUAGGUGAGAGCUUCGGCGCAUCAUCGACCGAUCCUGAUGUUUUCGGAUGGAUUUGAGUAGGAGCAUUAACGCUUGGACCCGAAAGAUGGUGAACUAUACUUGAAUAGGGUGAAGCCAGAGGAAACUCUGGUGGAGGCUCGCAGCGGUUCUGACGUGCAAAUCGAUCGUCAAAUUUG